UGGGGAGCAGUCUGCAAGUUGGACCUUAGGCUGCUGUAUAUCUGGUUCCUGGUUCUAUGCAUCUGGCCAGGCAAAAAAGGGAUCGAAAAGACAUGCUGUGAGUAGCCAUGAACUGAAUAUUGAAUUAGCCUGUAUGAAGAUAUCUAGUGGGUAAAAUUAUAAUGGCCAAAUAUAAGUUCUAGUUGUCCUGACAAUGGCCCUGCACGUUACCCAGCCUGUUACCGACACCGUUGUUCACACCUGACCAGAG